rnacentral:snoRNA from 1 species
GUCUGCUCCUGUAAAGAUUUAGAGUCCUUCCUCUCAGUUUAAGAGGGCUGUCCUAAGGACAGGGCUGGCUCUUAAAGGCACAAGAGGACAUU